rnacentral:lncRNA from 1 species
GGUUCUAGAUCCCUCCCUGGGUCCAGAUCUUUUCCUGCUUCCAGAUAAUUCCACAAUCUGCCUCCAGUCCCACCCCCCCACCUCCUCCAAUUGUGGAAUUUGGGUCCAGUUCCUUCCCUGAGCCCCAAGUUCUGGCUCCAGAUCCAAUCCGCUUCUAGAGCCCCAGUUCUAGAUCCCUCACUGGGUCCAGAUCUUUUCCUGCUUCCAGAUAAUUCCACAAUCUGCCUCCAGUCCCACCCCCCCACCUCCUCCAAUUGUGGAAUUUGGGUCCAGUUCCUUCCCUGAGCCCCAAGUUCUGGCUCCAGAUCCAAUCCGCUUCUAGAGCCCCAGUUCUAGAUCCCUCACUGGGUCCAGAUCUUUUCCUGCUUCCAGAUCCCUCCCAGUUCCAGACCUCUUACUGGUUCCGGAUCCCUUCUGGUUCCCCCCCAGUCUGUGAGCUUUGGGUUCGGUUCCUUCCCUCAGCCCCAAGUUCUGGGUCCUGAUCCCUUCUGGUUCUAGAGUUCUGGUUCUAGACCCCUUCCUGGUUCCAGAUCCAUUCCAGAAUCAAAGACUCCAGUCCCACCCCCUCAGGUGUGGAAUUUGGCUUUGGUUCCUUUCCUGAGCCCCAAGUUCUGGCUCCAGAUCCCUUCUGGUUCUAGAGAACAGGUUCCACAUCUUCUCCUGGUUCUAGAUCCUUUUGGUUUCGGAUCCCCUUUGGUUCCCCCCCACUCUGUGAGCUUUGGGUUCGGUUCCUUCCCUGACCCCCAAGCUCUGGGUCCAGACCUGCUCAUGUUCUACAUCCCUUCCUGGUUCCAGAUCCAUUCCAGAAUCAAAGUCUCCAGACCCCCCCCCCCCGCUUCCCUGGGUUCUGGGUCCAGAUCCCUUCUGGUUCUAGAAAUCAGAUUCCUGGUUCCAGAUCUUCUACUGGUUCCAGAUCCUUUUGGUUCCGAAUCCCUUCUGGUUCCCCCCAUUCUGUGAAGUUUGGCUCCGGUUCUUUCCCUGACCCCAAGCUCUGGGUCCAGACCUACUCCAGUUCUAGAGCUCCGGUUCU